UACGAAGGGGGCUAGCGUUGUUCGGAAUUACUGGGCGUAAGCGCGCGCAGGUGGUUCUCAAGUCAGUGGUGAAAGCCCGGAGCUCAACUCCGGAACUGCCAUUGAAACUGUGAAACUUGAGGACGAGAGAGGUGAGUGGAAUUCCCAGUGUAGAGGUGAAAUCGUAGAUAUUGGGAAGAACACCGGUGGCGAAGGCGGCUCACUGGCUCGUAUCUGACACUCAAGCGC
rnacentral:rRNA from 1 species